rnacentral:rRNA from 1 species
CUACGGGAGGCAGCAGUAGGGNAUCUUCCGCAAUGNACGAAAGUCUGACGGAGCAACGCCGCGUGAGUGAAGAAGGUUUUCGGAUCGUAAAACUCUGUUGUUAGGGAAGAACAAGUGCCGUUCGAAUAGGGCGGCGCCUUGACGGUACCUAACCAGAAAGCCACGGCUAACUACGUGCCAGCAGCCGCGGUAAUACGUAGGUGGCAAGCGUUGUCCGGAAUUAUUGGGCGUAAAGCGCGCGCAGGUGGUUUCUUAAGUCUGAUGUGAAAGCCCACGGCUCAACCGUGGAGGGUCAUUGGAAACUGGGGAACUUGAGUGCAGAAGAGGAAAGUGGAAUUCCAAGUGUAGCGGUGAAAUGCGUAGAUAUUUGGAGGAACACCAGUGGCGAAGGCGACUUUCUGGUCUGUAACUGACACUGAGGCGCGAAAGCGUGGGGAGCAAACAGGAUUAGAUACCCUGGUAGUCCACGCCGUAAACGAUGAGUGCUAAGUGUUAGAGGGUUUCCGCCCUUUAGUGCUGCAGCUAACGCAUUAAGCACUCCGCCUGGGGA